CCCAGUAGCUCAGUCGGCAGAGCAGGUGGCUGUUAACCACCGUGUCGUAGGUUCGAGUCCUACCGCCGGAGCCA
rnacentral:tRNA from 1 species